rnacentral:lncRNA from 1 species
GCAAUCUCCAUGAAAUCAGUCCUUCUCUAGCAAUCAGCUUGGGAGCUCAUUUUGAGACAGCAACAAAGCAUAUGGCCAGGAGAGGACUGCAUGGCUGAUAUUCUACAAACUCUCAAUAACACAGCAUGUGAGGACGAGAAUAAGAAAGGGAUUUGCGGAGUGUUUUCGGUUUACUCUUUGUCUUUGUGCUGCAUGAGCUGCUAGAAUUGGUGGUUCCUGG